rnacentral:lncRNA from 1 species
GUUGUGGGGAGUUUGAGAAAUAUAGAAAGAAAUAUGUCUUUAAAUUACCUCAGUAUUUUUAAAAAAAUCAAACAGAGCGUUGUUCUGAUAGCUCCCAGGAAGGUAGCUGUCCCAGAGCACAGGAGACCCCCAAAAGUAAACGGUUCUCCUUUCUUAGGACUUGUUUCUUCCCUGUACUCCACUCACAAGUUCUCAAGGCUGUGCAUGAAAGUGAGCAUUUUCUCAGGGAUGCUACCAACAUUAAUCCACAAAGUGACUCAGCCUGGUCUGAUCCCAACCUGAUUCCAAGAGGCCACGUAUUAUCCCAAAGCAGCACCUAAGGGCAGAGACGGACAGACAGCUAGUGCCACGAGGGACCAGGAAACAAUAAAUGGAGCGGACGCUGAUGCCAUGAGGCAAGGAGGGUGGAUGGUGAAGCAGCGACUGCCACCUUUGGUGCUUUUUGUCCCCUCAGGCUAGUGCUGGGGCCUCAGCGCUGUGUGCCAGUGCUGAGGCAGGGCUGUGGACACCGCGGCACUCAGACCCUGAAGGGGAAGCCUUCUUACUAAAGAAACACGAGGCCCCUGAGACAGCCUCUGCUCCCUCCACCACCGGACGGCUCCAUCUGUGAACCAAACGUGGCCCUCACCAGCUGCUGAGGCUUCUGACCUCAGGCUAAGUCGCCAGAACUGUAGGAAACAAGUCCUGUGGUUUAUAAGCUCCCAGCCUAUGGGAAGGAAGCCCAUGGGUGUUUUGGCAGCCUCGAUGGGCUUUGAUAGUGAUUAAUCUUCAUAACAGCAAUGAGGAACAUUUAUGAGGACCAGGAACCAUACUGUCCCCACGUUACCUUUAAACCUCCUAAUGCCACUGUGAAGCAGGCAUUGUCAUUUCAGUCUCACCGAUGAGGAAACUGAGGCUUGGAGAAGGUAAAACACUUGCCCACAAUUACCAGUGACCCAGCCGUGGGCCAGGACGUGAAGCUACUGACUUCCUGGUGCUCAGUGCUGUGGAGAAGGAGACGGACGCUGGAGGGGCCCUCGCGUGAACCAGGGACCCACAUCCCCCGAGCCCGGGGCAAGCACGUGGGCGAGGCUCAGUGUGGCCCGCAGCAGACACGUCCCCAGUAGGGGCACCGGAGGACGGCAGCGGUGUGGAACUCACCCCACAGGGCCUUCCAUCCUAGAACCUGUCAGGCCACGAUCUUGGGUGCACUACUGCCGCAUAAUGGGCGGCCGACAGGGUUCUGCAAUGUACCGCAUAGAGGUGCACCUUCCACGGGACCGUGUGGCUUUGAGUCCCAAGACAAAAUCCAUUUCAUCCUUGGCACAGGAGCAGAGACAGAGGAGGAGAGGAGAACAGACAGUUCAGCGGCUCCAAAGGCAAUGUACCUCUUGGGCCACAGGGCC